GUGCUCACUUCAGCAGGACAUAUUAUAAAAAUUGGGAUGACACAGAGAAGAUUGGCAUAGCCCCUGUACAAGGAUGACAUGCAAAUUUGUGAAGUUUCCAUAUUUUUA